rnacentral:rRNA from 1 species
UGGGGAAUAUUGGACAAUGGGGGCAACCCUGAUCCAGCAAUUCUGUGUGCACGAAGAAGGUUUUCGGAUUGUAAAGUGCUUUCAGCAGGGAAGAAGAAAGUGACGGUACCUGCAGAAGAAGCGACGGCUAAAUACGUGCCAGCAGCCGCGGUAAUACGUAUGUCGCAAGCGUUAUCCGGAAUUAUUGGGCAUAAAGGGCAUCUAGGCGGCCCUGUAAGUCUAGGGUGAAAACCUGCGGCUCAACCGCAGGCCUGCCCCGGAAACUACAGGGCUAGAGUAUCGGAGAGGUGGACGGAACUGCACGAGUAGAGGUGAAAUUCGUAGAUAUGUGCAGGAAUGCCGAUGAUGAAGAUAGUUCACUGGACGGUAACUGACGCUGAAGUGCGAAAGCUAGGGGAGCAAACAGGAUUAGAUACCCUGGUAGUCCUAGCUGUAAACGAUGAUUACUGGGUGUGGGCAUGAAGAGUGUCCGUGCCGAAGCAAAUGCGAUAAGUAAUCCGCCUGGGGAGUACGGCCGCAAGGCU